UACAGAGGGUGCGAGCGUUAAUCGGAAUUACUGGGCGUAAAGCGUGCGUAGACGGUUAUUUAAGUCGGGUGUGAAAGCCCCGGGCUCAACCUGGGAAUUGCAUUCGAGACUGGAAUAGCUAGGGUACGGUAGGAGGGAAGUGGAAUUUCCGGUGUAGCGGUGAAAUGCGUAGAUAUCGGAAGGAACAUCAGUGGCGGAAAGC
rnacentral:rRNA from 1 species